rnacentral:snRNA from 1 species
UACCGAUUUCAAUAGCGUAGGG